rnacentral:rRNA from 1 species
UACGUAGGGUGCAAGCGUUGUCCGGAAUUAUUGGGCGUAAAGAGCUUGUAGGCGGUUUGUCGCGUCUGCUGUGAAAUUUCGGGGCUCAACCCCGAACUUGCAGUGGGUACGGGAAGACUAGAGUGUGGUAGGGGAGACUGGAAUUCCUGGUGUAGCGGUGAAAUGCGCAGAUAUCAGGAGGAACACCGGUGGCGAAGGCGGAUCUCUGGGCCUUACCUGACGCUCAGGUGCGAAAGCUAGGGGAGCGAACAGG